rnacentral:lncRNA from 1 species
GGCAACAUGUUGAUGAACGUCAGAAGCUGAGACUCGUGCUGUCGAAUGCAUAGCUGCAAUCAAAAGGCAAAAGUUCAGUUACAAAGUUCGAAAGUAAAUGAAAAAUAAAAUAACCGACUAUGCUAUAUCUAAAGAAGUCACCGAACUAAGUCUGAUGUCAUAGAGAGCUUGCUCUGUCAUUAGCUCUUGCUGUGCUGGGACUUUCAUAUC